rnacentral:rRNA from 1 species
CCUACGGGCGGCUGCAGUGGGGGAUAUUGCACAAUGGGGGGAACCCUGAUGCAGCGACGCCGCGUGGGUGAAGAAGCGCCUCGGCGCGUAAAGCCCUGUCAGCAGGGAAGAAAAUGACGGUACCUGAAGAAUAAGCCCCGGCUAACUACGUGCCAGCAGCCGCGGUAAUACGUAGGGUGCAAGCGUUAUCCGGAUUUACUGGGCGUAAAGGGGGCGCAGGCGGGGAUGCAAGCCAGAAGUGAAAUCCCGGGGCCCAACCCCCGAACUGCUCUUGAAACUGCGUGGCUAGAGUGCAGGAGAGGCAGGUGGAAUUCCUGGUGUAGCGGUGAAAUGCGUAGAGAUCAGGAGGAAUACUGGUGGCGAAGGCGGCCUGCUGGACUACAACUGACGUUGAGGCCCGAAAGCGUGGGGAGCAAACAGGAUUAGAUACCCGGGUAGUC